UGCUGUUCCGGUCACGGCUGCCGUGCUGUCUGUGCCCAGCCCUCUUCGGCCUUAUUAAAAGCCCCAGAGCCUGUGCCCUCUGGGAGAGAGGAUGGCAUCAGGAAAGGACGUAAGGUGUCGGUGCACUUGAAGUGUUGAUUGAGGUCGGGAAGUUCAAGUGCACGACGUCCCAGCAGAUCUCAGCUUCCACAGCCAGCCAUGUGCUGCUCUUACCUGUAUCCCUAAGAGAAGCCCAAGGGUCAGAGAGGUCCCGUGACUGAUGCCCCAUCGAAGUCUUUUGCACCGGUCUGCAUCUCUCCUAAAACAAUGUCACUUCUACCCCAGACCCCUCCGGAUGUCUGCUGGCUGCCAGGGGUGGUGCCUGGGAUCCUUCUUCCUGCCAUCACCGGUCCUGCUCCAGCUCCCCUGUCCUCUGGGGCCAAUACCUGGCCCUGGCUUAGCUGUGGUGUCACAUCUGUGGAGCUCUGUAUUCUGCAGGGCACGGAUGGGAGCAAAAGGGACAGAAACGGGCAGGGGGUUUGCCUUUGGAGAGCUGUCCCCAUGUUCCCCAAAUUCCCCCAUGGUGAUAAGCUUCCUUCAGGCCUUCCCUGGAAGCAGCUUCUGGUCCCAAAGAGGGUGAUGGGAAGGAAGCAGAUGAAUCAAGGUUUGCUGGUGCCAAGGCUGAGCCCCACAGUGAGAACUGGGGCCCAAGCUGCCAUGGCGCCAACUGUCAGACAUGGGUGUGACCCACUGUGAGUCCUAGCCAAGCCCAUCCUCCAGCAGAAUCUGACUGCAGGUGUGUGAACAAGUGACACCAGCAGAGCAAUGGCCCAGCUAACCCAUGGGAGCAGGAGAA